UAGGUGGUGGUUAAGAAGUUAAAAAAGUGGCAGCGCCGGCAAACUUGUCGUGCAACCCUGAGCAGAAAAUUACCUUCGACGCCGAUGGCAGAGCAGAAUGUACAAAGACUUCGGCUAUUUUGUGUGUUAAAUAUUUGGUUGUAACUUAUUAUAAUUUUUGUGCAUUUUGGACGAUCUUUAUGCUACAUCUGCAUAUUAAAAUUGUUUAUAAUUUUUAAAUGAACUUAAAGAGUAAAGUUGAAGGAAAUAUCAGCACAUUUUAAUCGCAGCUAAAAAUUUCUCAUGUGGACAGUUUUUCAUUAAAAAUAACCAAAAAAUAUAAUUGGCCAGCAAAAGAAAAUAAGAAAAAAGUGAUAAUGAUAUUCGAAACGCUCCUCCAUACGCAUACAACAACACACAUUGGCAUGUAAAAAAAUUCAAUUUUAUAAUCAUUUCCGAUUGCAAAGUGCGCUCGAUAUUUGAUUGAAUUGAAUUUGGUUUGCUUUGGCUUGAUUUUCAAAUAAACGGUACAAGGCGCACAUCAAAUCCACUUCCACAAUCACUACCACCACCACCACCACCACCACCAUCAUCAUCAUAUCAUCACUAUCGUCAACUCCAACUACUACUACUAGUACUGCUAUUACUACGACAACAAUUACUAAAAAGUACAUCCUCAGCCACUAACUGUCCGCUCAUCACUAAAUUGAACAUGCAAAUAUGUAAUAGGUCACAGGACGCUGACGCAUAAUUCUUAAUUGUCUACAUCAAAUAAUCGUCCUCAAGAUAGAGAAACUUGUUGUGCGUUUUUAUUAUCGGUGGCGUCCCGGCGUUGAAUUUAUACGCAAUUAUUAUUUUGGGCAUAAAAAAAGUCAACUUUAUUGAGUUUAACAGUAGCUAUUAUAUAGUAAAGAGCGCAACAUAAUGUCUUUGUGGAAGAGUGUCAGUCGCUUUCCAGAGCUGAAAAAGCGCAUGACUGAUUAUUACGUUGUCAAGGGCUUCGCGGAGAUACGCGAGCAAUUUGCAGAUUGGAUUGAACAAGUUUUAAUAAACGACGAAGAAUCUCGUACAGGCGAAAAACCGUUAGACCAACAAGCCAAAUCAUUCUACGAAGAACUGAAAUUGAAAAUUAUUUCUCUGAGUGGAGAUCAUCUGUUGAAAUAUAAAUUUCGUGAUAUUUGUACGCAAUUUGCGCUAUCACAACCAUUCGAACUCUAUACAUACGUACGCAGCGGUAUUCUUCAAGAAUUACAGGCAUUGAAGGACAUGCCUCAAAACCCCUACAUGUAUAAUCUUGUGGGUGGCAAUGUGAAUGGGGUAGGCAUGAAUACGGGCAAUCCCUAUUUGAGUGGCGUAGGCGGCCACCUAAAUGAUGUGCCUAUGGCGGAGGAGGGUUAUGGGUUGACAGCACGUAUACAAAAGCUGGCAGUUGAUAUGGAUAAUAUACGUGUGACGAUACAAAGUUUCCAAAGUGAACAGGAAUCCAUAUAUACUUAUUUUAGUGAAUUGAAUCAGACACGUGCAAUGAUGUCACCGCAAGAGGCCCAGGAGCAUGAUAAUCAAUUCAAGGAUCAGUGCGUUAUAUUAAAUGAACGUAGAAAGGCUCUUGUACUCGAUUUGAGACGUGUUGUAAGCGAAUACGAUACCAUACAAGAUCAAGUGAUAAUGGCAUUGAAAAUGUGGCAACGUAACCAGGCGCUUGCUGGCAAUGGUGCGCCAUUCCUUGAUAAUUUAGAUGACAUACAACGCUGUGUGGAGAUGUUGGUCGAUAUGAUCGCUAAAAUUCAAACGUUUGUUAGUAAUCUACUUUUGAUGGCUGACGAUCCUAUACUAACUGAGCUGUUGUCCCACGUACGUUCUGUGCAAAGAAUGCUUGUUUUAUCGUCGUUUAUAGUGGAGCGACAGCCACCACAAGUAAUGAAAACACAUACAAGAUUUGCCGCUGCUGUUCGAUGGCUCAUUGGACCGCAACUUGGCCUAUAUACAAAUAGUCCAAGUAUAGAAUGCGUUAUACUUUCAGAGGCCCAAGCACAGCGACAUGCCGCUCACAACAGCACUUCUGAUAUGCAGACAUCUUCACCUCCACAAUCUUCUGGUGAAAUUUUAAAUAAUGUUAGCACAAUGGAGUUCCAACAGGCUACACGAGUUCUUUCAGCAAGCUUUAGGAAUAUGCAAUUGAAGAAAAUUAAGCGCGCCGAAAAGAAAGGCACAGAAAGCGUUAUGGAUGAAAAAUUUUCCCUACUUUUUUACACAACUGUUGUUUUCAAUGAAUUUAAGAUUAGUUGCUGGACACUCUCUUUGCCCGUUGUUGUUAUUGUGCAUGGUAAUCAAGAACCGCAAUCCUGGGCUACAAUCACUUGGGAUAAUGCAUUUUCGGAUAUAACACGUGAACCUUUUCAAGUACCAGAGAAAGUGCGCUGGGCACAAUUAUCGGUGGCAUUGAAUACCAAAUUUGGUUCGGCAACAGGCAGAGGUUUAACCGAAGAAAAUUUAAAUUUCCUUUAUGAGAAACUUUUCCGCAAUGAAGCUGGCGAACACACCGAGUUUAUAACAUGGGCACAGUUUUGCAAGGAGCCGUUGCCAGAUCGAACAUUCACCUUCUGGGAUUGGUUCUUUGCUAUUAUGAAAUUAACAAAAGAUCAUCUACUGAAUCUUUGGAAAGAGGGCUUGAUUGUUGGUUUUAUAAAUAAGCGUAAAACUUUGGAAGAAAUUUUACCAAUGCAACAGUAUGGCACAUUUUUAUUGCGUUUCUCAGACAGUGAAUUGGGUGGCAUUACCGUGGCAUUUGUUGAUGAUCAGGGUAAUAAACUCAUGUUGGCACCAUGGACGUCACGCGAUUUAAAUAUACGUUGCUUAGCGGAUCGCAUACACGAUUUGAAUGUUUUGCGUAUCGUUUAUCCAAAGAAUAUCCCACGUGACGAGGCAUUCGCUAGUUUCUACUCACACCACGUUGAAGAACAAACAACACGUGAUGGUUAUGUUGCAAAUACAAUACGAGCACAUGUACCGGCCAUAGAGGGUGGUUCUGUUGCGGGCACGCCGCAGCAUCAGCCUCAAGAUAUAACAAUGCCAAAUUAUGAGAUGUUUGACAUCGAUUGGAAUAACGUAAUCUGAAAUGGGUGGGCUGAAGACCAAGUAUAAGUAAUUGGUAUCAUGAAGGGUCGUCUAUUGUUUAGUGUGCAGUGCAACACGCAUAUUGUGUGUGCUCAAUAAAAACUCGUAAGCAGUUUUAGUGACUUUGAUUCAAUUUUAUAUUGAUGGAUGGAAACAUAUACACGGUGCUUAUACACAACCACAAAACACACCAUAAACUAAAAUGAAAGCAAGACAAAGUAAAGUAAAAAACAUAAUUAUACUAUAAAUAUUUCAACAAAAUGCCAUACUAUAAGAGAAGACUUUUUGGCUAAAGAAUGCAGCUUUGUUAUUGAAUGUUUGGCCUUUACAUUAUUACAUACAUACUCAUUUGCAAACUGUCAGGCAUAGCUAUCAACACGAAACUGCUUACCAAUUUAACUGGGCAUGUGCGAAAUGCGAAAAAAUUGUUAAGAACAGAAUAUUUGCAAAACUGACGAAGAAUGUGAAAUAUGUUCCUGUGAAAUAUAGCAACGGAAAAAAAAUUAUAAGCGUGCGUGUUUACUUACAACAUACAUGUUGCAAAGCAAUGCCAAUUGCAUAUAAAAAACCUUGAAUAUAUACCGUUAUGCAUGCUGUGUCUGUCGCCUUUGAAACUACAUACAUAUAUUUACAAAAAAAAAAAAAAAAAAAAAAAAAAAAGAAACUCUAGAUGGUGUCUCCCAAAACUUUUUUUGUUUUUUUUUUUAGUAGUUCUCACUAUUGCUCCUCUUAUUGCGCGUAGUGGUUAUUAUUGCAUAGUUUGAAAAGUUGAAAAAGGAAAAUAGUAAAUGUAAUAUUUUUAUACUCGUCGUUGCCUUAUAUAGUUAUAUUAAUUACAUUCACUUUUGUUUGUUUUUUAAUAUACUCUAUUUUGAUAAUAAAAAAAAAAA